GACGAACGCUGGCGGCGUGCUUAACACAUGCAAGUCGAACGGUGAACUCCGCUUGCGGGGGGAUCAGUGGCGAACGGGUGAGUAACACGUGGGCAACCUGCCCUCAGCUCUGGGAUAACUCCAAGAAAUUGGGGCUAAUACCGGAUAUGACCGCUGACCGCAUGGUCUGGUGGUGGAAAGAUUUAUCGGCUGGGGAUGGGCCCGCGGCCUAUCAGCUUGUUGGUGGGGUAGUGGCCUACCAAGGCGACGACGGGUAGCCGGCCUGAGAGGGUGACCGGCCACACUGGGACUGCGACACGGCCCAGACUCCUACGGGAGGCAGCAGUGGGGAAUAUUGCGCAAUGGGCGAAAGCCUGACGCAGCGACGCCGCGUGGGGGAUGACGGCCUUCGGGUUGUAAACCUCUUUCAGCAGGGACGAAGCGAAAGUGACGGUACCUGCAGAAGAAGCACCGGCCAACUACGUG
rnacentral:rRNA from 1 species